GCUUCAUGCGGGCCGGAAAGUGGCCUCUUGUGUUCGUGUUGGCACAUGGCGUUGGCACACGGCAGGGGUUCGGUUUAUGCCGUCCACUGGUAGCAAACAUUUAUUGAAUGGCAGGCAUCCUGCCAACCACGAAAGACUCAGUCUUCAAAAUGCUCGCAAAUGGACAAAUAAACUGCAAUGAAAGCCUUUAAAAAUCCACGUUUAUUUUGUUUCUAGUUUGGAGGUUUCAAGCCACUGCAUAUACCAAAUGCUUCAGCCAACUUGGAUAUGAACAUUCGAGCCUCCAAAAAUUGCGUGGGGCAAGGAGGCCAAGGCUGGUGCAGAGCUUCCUGGGGUCUACACAGAUGGCCGCUGACGGUUUCAGAUCAGAGAGGAGGCCGGGACUCAGCCGCUCCUCCUUCCUUCAUCCCCUCGCUGUUGCCCUCAACUUCCCAGUGGGUCCCCACCG
rnacentral:lncRNA from 1 species